rnacentral:rRNA from 1 species
UACGGAGGAGGCAAGCGUUAUCCGGAAUUAUUGGGCGUAAAGCGUCCGUAGAUGGUCGUUUCAGGUCUGCUGUCAAAGACCGGGGCUUAACCCCAGAAAGGCGGUGGAAACUGAACAGCUAGAGAGAGGUAGGGGUAGAGGGAAUUCCCAGUGUAGCGGUGAAAUGCGUAGAUAUUGGGAAGAACAUCAGUGGCGAAAGCGCUCUACUGGACCUUAUCUGACAUUGAGGGACGAAAGCUAGGGGAGCGAAUGGG